AUGUGGCUUUCUCCAGUUGCCCCCACCGUUUUCCCACUUAAUCCGUCUUCUGAGUGCAUUGAUGCAAAAAUCACCAUUGGGUGUUUGGCCAAGGGUUUCCUGCCUGACCCAGUCAAUUUCUCCUGGAGCAAUGCCAACGGCGGGACCAUCGAGAUUAAGAAAUUUCCUUCAAUCAGUUCCAAUGGGGCUUUCAUCGUAAGCUCCCAGGCAGUUAUUUCUGGUGCUGCUUGGAAGAAUUUCGUUCCCUUUUAUUGCACGGCUGCUCACUAUGCGACAAACAGGACAGUACGAGUGGUUCGUCAGCCACUGAACCCGACCGCUCCACCUGACAUUAUCAUCAGCGCACCACGCCUAACGGAUUUUGUGGGGUCCCCCUUAAAUGCCACCAUCACCUGCAAUGCUAUUAAUCUGCACACUCAGAAAACCACACUCCAGUGGCUGAGGGAUGAAGCAGUUCUUGAAUCUGAUGGCCCCACUACCAUUUCAACCUCAAAAUGCAGUCACAGCCUGAGGAGUGAGCUAACAGUCACCAAGAGCGACUGGGACAACGGCAAGAAGUUUUCCUGCAACGUGUUCAACGAGAAAUUCAAUGGGAUUAGGAACAUCAGCAAACCCCUUAUUUGUGGCAAUCUUCCUGUCCCUGUCAAGGUUGAGACCAUCCAGCCUUCCUUUGCUGAUAUUUUCCAAACCAAGACGGCCAUUCUGACCUGCAGAAUUUCGAACAUACCUGAUGACCAAGAUCUUAAGGAGCUGAAUGUCACCUGGACACGAGCAGAUGAUGACAAACCCCUAGAGACUAUCCUUAAACCCUCCCAAGAACAAGAGAGCAGUGGGCUGCUAUUCAAGGAUGCAGUAGCUACGGUGUGUGCAGAUGAGUGGAACAAAGGGGAAACUUUCAAAUGCAAAAUUAUUCACCCAGCUUUAUUUCCCUCAAUGGAAGUCAGAUCCCUGCGCAAGCCUCAAGAUGGCAACCCCUCUGCUCCACAUAUCUACAUCCUUCCUCCUCCUCCGGAUCAGCUGGCUCUGCAGGAAACAGCCACCGUCACUUGUUUGAUGAAAGAUUUCUCCCCUAGUGAGUUCUUUGUCAAAUGGCUGCGGAAUGGUGAGCCCGUGGAUGCUUCCGAAUACUUCACCAACACAGCCACCCAGGAGUCUAAGACACCCAAGCAGUAUUAUGCCUAUAGCAUGCUGAACGUCAACGCAGAAGAGUGGAAUUCUGGAACUGCUUACACUUGUGUGGUAGGGCAUGAGAUGUUGCCCCUCCAGACGUCUCAGAAGACCAUAGACAAGAAUACGGGUAAACCAACCAUUGUCAACGUCUCCCUCGUGCUCUCCGACACCGCCAGCACUUGCCAAUAA